GAACCCAUUUUAUAAGUUUUUUUAACUGCUCAGGAUGAACGCUGGCGGCGUGCCUAAUACAUGCAAGUCGAGCGAAUGGAUUAAGAGCUUGCUCUUAUGAAGUUAGCGGCGGACGGGUGAGUAACACGUGGGUAACCUGCCCAUAAGACUGGGAUAACUCCGGGAAACCGGGGCUAAUACCGGAUAACAUUUUGAACCGCAUGGUUCGAAAUUGAAAGGCGGCUUCGGCUGUCACUUAUGGAUGGACCCGCGUCGCAUUAGCUAGUUGGUGAGGUAACGGCUCACCAAGGCAACGAUGCGUAGCCGACCUGAGAGGGUGAUCGGCCACACUGGGACUGAGACACGGCCCAGACUCCUACGGGAGGCAGCAGUAGGGAAUCUUCCGCAAUGGACGAAAGUCUGACGGAGCAACGCCGCGUGAGUGAUGAAGGCUUUCGGGUCGUAAAACUCUGUUGUUAGGGAAGAACAAGUGCUAGUUGAAUAAGCUGGCACCUUGACGGUACCUAACCAGAAAGCCACGGCUAACUACGUGCCAGCAGCCGCGGUAAUACGUAGGUGGCAAGCGUUAUCCGGAAUUAUUGGGCGUAAAGCGCGCGCAGGUGGUUUCUUAAGUCUGAUGUGAAAGCCCACGGCUCAACCGUGGAGGGUCAUUGGAAACUGGGAGACUUGAGUGCAGAAGAGGAAAGUGGAAUUCCAUGUGUAGCGGUGAAAUGCGUAGAGAUAUGGAGGAACACCAGUGGCGAAGGCGACUUUCUGGUCUGUAACUGACACUGAUGCGCGAAAAGACGCCC
rnacentral:rRNA from 1 species